GAUGAACGCUGGCGGCGUGCCUAAUACAUGCAAGUCGAACGAAACUUCUUUAUCACCGAGUGCUUGCACACACCGAUAAAGAGUUGAGUGGCGAACGGGUGAGUAACACGUGGUCAACCUGCCCAAAAGAGGGGGAUAACACUUGGAAACAGGUGCUAAUACCGCAUAACCAUAGUUACCGCAUGGUAACUAUGUAAAAGGUGGCUAUACUACCGCUUUUGGAUGGGCCCGCGGCGCAUUAGCUAGUUGGUAGGGUAAAGGCUUACCAAGGCAAUGAUGCGUAGCCGAAGUGAGAGGUUGAUCGGCCACAUUGGGACUGAGACACGGCCCAGACUCCUACGGGAGGCAGCAGUAGGGAAUAUUCGACAAUGGGCGAAAGCCUGAUGGAGCAACGCCGCGUGGGUGAAGAAGGUCUUCGGAUCGUAAAGCCCUGUUGUUAGAGAAGAAAGUGCGUGAGAGUAACUGUUCACGUUUCGACGGUAUCUAACCAGAAAGCCACGGCUAACUACGUG
rnacentral:rRNA from 1 species